rnacentral:lncRNA from 1 species
ACACUCAUUAAUUAUAUUAAUAUUUGGUGAAGUGGAUCAUCUUUGGGAAGAAAGAAGUACUGAUAUCUACCCCAUGGUUUAUGUGAGACAUAAGAAGCUAGACACAGGAAAAAACUCACCGGACUUCUAAGACAUGACAUGGUAGCUCCUGGAUGCAUUGAAGCAUUUGUCUUUCCUCUGUACCUCCAAGAAGAUAUUGCUGAUAAACUGGGUUUGGACAUCUCUGCAAUAAAGAUAGUUCAUAUACCUGAUGCUACAACAGGAUGGCAUGGAGGUAUUUUUAGCUUGAAAUUUUGAUUGUGAAUGUCUGUGGCCUAUUAAAAAAAAAUGCCGAUGCAGCCUUGCAGCAUGAAAAAG